rnacentral:rRNA from 1 species
CAAAGGAAUUGACGGGGACCCGCACAAGCGGCGGAGCAUGCGGAUUAAUUCGAUGCAACGCGAAGAACCUUACCAAGGCUUGACAUACACCAGAACGGGCCAGAAAUGGUCAACUCUUUGGACACUGGUGAACAGGUGGUGCAUGGUUGUCGUCAGCUCGUGUCGUGAGAUGUUGGGUUAAGUCCCGCAACGAGCGCAACCCUCGUUCUAUGUUGCCAGCACGUAAUGGUGGGAACUCAUGGGAUACUGCCGGGGUCAACUCGGAGGAAGGUGGGGAUGACGUCAAAUCAUCAUGCCCCUUAUGUCUUGGGCUUCACGCAUGCUACAAUGGCCGGUACAAAGGGCUGCAAUACCGUGAGGUGGAGCGAAUCCCAAAAAGCCGGUCCCAGUUCGGAUUGAGGUCUGCAACUCGACCUCAUGAAGUCGGAGUCGCUAGUAAUCGCAGAUCAGCAACGCUGCGGUGAAUACGUUCCCGGGUCUUGUACACACCGCCCGUCAAGUCAUGAAAGUCGGUAACACCUGAAGCCGGUGGCCCAACCCUUGUGGAGGGAGCCGUCGAAGGUGGGAUCGGUAAUUAG